GACGGACGCUGGCGGCGUGCUUAACACAUGCAAGUCGAACGGUAAGGCCCUUCGGGGUACACGAGUGGCGAACGGGUGAGUAACACGUGGGUGAUCUGCCCUGCACUUCGGGAUAAGCCUGGGAAACUGGGUCUAAUACCGGAUAGGACUCCUGGCUUCAUGGUUGGGGGUGGAAAGCUUUUGCGGUGUGGGAUGGGCCCGCGGCCUAUCAGCUUGUUGGUGGGGUAAUGGCCUACCAAGGCGACGACGGGUAGCCGGCCUGAGAGGGUGACCGGUCACACUGGGACUGAGAUACGGCCCAGACUCCUACGGGAGGCAGCAGUGGGGAAUAUUGCACAAUGGGCGCAAGCCUGAUGCAGCGACGCCGCGUGAGGGAUGACGGCCUUCGGGUUGUAAACCUCUUUCAGCUAUGACGAAGCGCAAGUGACGGUAGUAGCAGAAGAAGGACCGGCCAACUAUGUGCCAGCCGCCGCGGUAA
rnacentral:rRNA from 1 species